UUGCCAGACUCCUACGGGAGGCAGCAGUGAGGAAUAUUGGUCAAUGGCCGGAAGGCUGAACCAGCCAAGCCGCGUGAAGGACGAAGGUGCCAAGCAUUGUAAACUUCUUUUGUCAAGGGACAAAAUCAGGCUCGAGAGCCUGACCGAGGGUACUUGAAGAAAAAGCAUCGGCUAACUCCGUGCCAGCAGCCGCGGUAAUACGGAGGAUGCGAGCGUUAUCCGGAUUUAUUGGGUUUAAAGGGCGUGUAGGCGGGACUGCAAGUCAGAUGUGAAAACCACGGGCUCAACCUGUGGCCUGCAUUUGAAACUGUAGUUCUUGAGUACUGGAGAGGCGGACGGAAUUCCUAGUGUAGCGGUGAAAUGCGUAGAUAUUAGGAGGAACACCAGUGGCGAAGGCGGUCUGCUGGACAGCAACUGACGCUGAGGCGCGAAAGCGUGGGGAGCAACCAGGAUUAGAUACCCUUGUACG
rnacentral:rRNA from 1 species